GACGAACGCUGGCGGCGUGCUUAGCACAUGCAAGUCGAACGGAAAGGCCCUGCUUUUGUGGGGUGCUCGAGUGGCGAACGGGUGAGUAACACGUGAGUAACCUGCCCUUGACUUUGGGAUAACUUCAGGAAACUGGGGCUAAUACCGGAUAGGAGCUCCUGCUGCAUGGUGGGGGUUGGAAAGUUUCGGCGGUUGGGGAUGGAAUCGCGGCUUAUCAGCUUGUUGGUGGGGUAGUGGCUUACCAAGGCUUUGACGGGUAGCCGGCCUGAGAGGGUGACCGGCCACAUGGGUACUGAGAGACGGCCCAGACUCCUACGGGAGGCAGCAGUGGGGAAUAUUGCACAAUGGGCGGAAGCCUGAUGCAGCAACGCCGCGUGCGGGAUGACGUCCUUCGGGUUGUAAACCGCUUUCGCCUGUGACGAAGCGUGAGUGACGGUAAUGGGUAAAGAAGCACCGGCUAACUACGUG
rnacentral:rRNA from 1 species